GAUGAAGAACGUAGCGAAAUGCGAUACGUAAUGUGAAUUGCAGAUUUCAGUGAAUCAUCGAAUCUUUGAACGCACAUUGCGCCCGCCAGUAUUCUGGCGGGCAUGCCUGUUCGAGCGUCAUUUCAACCAUCAAGCGCCUGCGCUUGUGUUGGAGCCCUGCGGCUGCCGCAGGCUCUCAAACCCAGUGGCGGGCUCGUCGUCGUACCGAGUGCAGUAAAUUUACCACGCUCAGGGCACGCGACGGGUGACCGGCCGUAAAACCCCCAUCUUCUCAAGGUUGACCUCGGAUCAGGUAGGAAUACCCGCUGAACUAAGCAUAUCAAUAAGCGGAGGA
rnacentral:misc_RNA from 1 species